UUUUAGAUAAAUUCUGCUCAAUGAUAAAUUUAAAUAGCUGCAGUAAAUUAACUGUACUAAGGUAGCAUAAUAAAUUGCUUUAUAAUUAAAAGCUCGAAUGAAGGAAACAAUGUGAAACAAACUUUUUAAACUAAAAAGGUAAAAAUUAAUGUUUAAGUGAAAAAUCUUAAAUUAAAUCAAAAGACAAGAAGACCCUUUAGAACUUUACAGGCUAACUCAUCUUUAUUGAAUUAACCUGUUAAGUUGGGGAGAUUUUUAAAUAAAUAAAUCUUUAAAUAUAAAAAAAUGAACUACCUCAAAUUAAAUUAUCCAAGAAUGAAACAAAACAAGUUACCUAAGGGAUAACAGCGCAAAAUUUUUGAGAAGAUCUCAUUCACAAAAUAAAUUGCGACCUCGAUGUUGGAUUAAGAA
rnacentral:rRNA from 1 species